rnacentral:rRNA from 1 species
UUGGAAGUAAAAGUCGUAACAAGGUCUCCGUUGGUGAACCAGCGGAGGGAUCAUUACAGAGUUGCAAAACUCCCUAAACCAUCGCGAACCCACCCCUAAACAGUUGCUUCGGCGGCGCCAGAGGCCCUGCGGCCCGAGGCCCGCCGGGGACCCCCAAACUCUUGUUUUUAACAACUGGCCUCUCUGAGUACUGUACUUUAAUAAGUCAAAACUUUCAACAACGGAUCUCUUGGUUCUGGCAUCGAUGAAGAACGCAGCGAAAUGCGAUAAGUAAUGUGAAUUGCAGAAUUCAGUGAAUCAUCGAAUCUUUGAACGCACAUUGCGCCCGCGAGUAUUCUCGCGGGCAUGCCUGUUCGAGCGUCAUUUCAACCAUCAAGCCCCCCGGCUUGUGUUGGGGACCUGCGGCUGCCGCAGGCCCUGAAAUCCAGUGGCGGGCUCGCUGUCGCACCGAGCGUAGUAGCAUACUUCUCGCUCCGGGAGCGCGGCGGGCGCCUGCCGUAAAACCCCCUACAUACCAAAGGUUGACCUCGGAUCAGGUAGGAAUACCCGCUGAACUUAAGCAUAUCAAUAAGCGGAGGA